rnacentral:rRNA from 1 species
ACUCCUACGGGAGGCAGCAGUGAGGAAUAUUGCGCAAUGGCCGAAAGGCUGACGCAGCGACGCCGCGUGAGGGAUGAAGUCCGUUAGGAUGUAAACCUCUUUUGCAGGGGAUGAACGUCUCGCUAUACGCGGGAUUGACCGUACCCUGCGAGUAAGGAUCGGCUAACUACGUGCCAGCAGCCGCGGUAAU